rnacentral:rRNA from 1 species
AUUGAACGCUGGCGGCAUGCCUAACACAUGCAAGUCGAACGGCAGCACGGCAGUAGCAAUACUGUGGGUGGCGAGUGGCGGACGGGUGAGGAAUACGUCGGAAUCUGCCCAGUCGUGGGGAUAACUAGCCGAAAGGUUAGCUAAUACCGCAUACGACCGAGAGGUGAAAGCGGGGACCGCAAGGCCUCGCGCGAUUGGAUGAGCCGACGUCGGAUUAGCUAGUUGGUGGGGUAAAGGCCCACCAAGGCGACGAUCCGUAGCUGGUCUGAGAGGAUGAUCAGCCACACUGGAACUGAGACACGGUCCAGACUCCUACGGGAGGCAGCAGUGGGGAAUAUUGGACAAUGGGCGCAAGCCUGAUCCAGCAAUGCCGCGUGUGUGAAG